UACGUAGGGUGCAAGCGUUGUCCGGAAUUAUUGGGCGUAAAGAGCUCGUAGGUGGCCUGUCGCGUCGGCUGUGAAAACUCGAGGCUCAACCUCGAGACGUCGGUGGAAACCGUUUGGCUAGAGUCCGGAAGAGGAGAGUGGAAUUCCCGGUGUAGCGGUGAAAUGCGCAGAUAUCGGGAAGAACACCCGUGGCGAAGGCGGCUCUCUGGGACGGUACUGACGCUGAGACGCGAAAGCGUGGGGAGCGAACAGG
rnacentral:rRNA from 1 species